GACGGAGGAUGCAAGUGUUAUCCGGAAUCACUGGGCGUAAAGCGUCUGUAGGUGGUCAGAUAAGUCAACUGUUAAAUCUUGAGGCUCAACCUCAAAAUCGCAGUCGAAACUAUUAGACUAGAGUAUAGUAGGGGUAAAGGGAAUUUCCAGUGGAGCGGUGAAAUGCGUAGAGAUUGGAAAGAACACCGAUGGCGAAGGCACUUUACUGGGCUAUUACUAACACUCAGAGACGAAAGCUAGGGUAGCAAAUGGG
rnacentral:rRNA from 1 species